ensembl:lncRNA
GAGAAAGGGAGUGGGAGAGAAACUGGCCAAUUGCAGCAGUAGAGAGAUGCGCUGACUCCUGGCUUUAUGAACUCAGUGAUUCAUUGUACAGACACAUGACUUGUUUGGAAACAACUGAAAAGUGUACACAUGAGCUCUUGCAAGCAACUAAAAAUAAUAAUAAUAAUAAUAGCCAUAUAAAAUCAGUCGGUAAAUACAGAUUAUGUUAUGUAAUAUUCGAAGUUAUUUCGGAAUGAUGAUGUUCACUCUGUUGUCAUAGAUGUGCUGCAUGUGGGGUGGUGUGUUGUGCUGAAGGUUGGUGUUUUGGAGGUGUGUUGUGCUGAAGGUUAGGGUUGUGGUGGUGUGUUGUGCUGAAGGUUGGUGUUUUGGAGGUGUGUUGUGCUGUAGUUAAGGGUUGUGGCGGUGUUUUGGGCUGUAGGUUAGGGUUGUGGUGGUGUGUUGUGCUGAAGGUUGGUGUUUUGGAGGUGUGUUGUGCUGUAGUUAAGGGUUGUGGAGGUGUGUUGUGCUGAAGGUUGGUGUUGUGGCGGUGUUUUGGGCUGUAGGUUAGAGUUGUGAGGUGGGGCUUGAAUAGCCCCCCUUGUUCAAAGUGGGGAAUGACAGAAAAAGUUUAAGAACCACUGCGGUAGUUGAAGAUGGAGAGAGCUGAGGGAUUGUUGGGCGGAAAGUCUCUGUUUAAGAGUCAAAAUGACGGAACAAUCGACAAAACUAAAGUUGUAUGUAGCAUUUGUCAAGCUGAAUUUAGGGGAGCGUGCCUAUGUUCCCACAGCCCAAUGUUCCCACAGCCCUAUGUUCCCACAGCCCUAUGUUCCCACAUUUCUAAGAGCUUUUUCAAAAUUAGGUCUUAUGUUCCCACAUUUCUAAUAUUCAUUACAAAAUUAGGGCCUAUGUUCCUACAGUUCAUCUAAUCCUAACCCUAACCCUAACCUAUAACCCUAAAUAAUAACCCUAACCCGCGGGCGGGUCCGUGAUUUUUUUCAAAAUGGCGAUUUUUGUACUUUUUUUUUGCAACAUGAACUUGCAAAUCGACUGUAUAAUUGUGGAGGAAUUGAUCAUUUACUUUAGGCAUGCAUUUGAAGGUGUUUUUGUCCCGAAAACGGCUGGGGCUUAACAGGAAAUGUGGGACCAUAGGGUUUAAUUUUCAGAAAAAUCUAGAAAUGUGGGAACAUCGGGACUAAUUUUUCAAAAUAAAUCUGGGAACAUAGAUCUGUGGGAACAUAGGGCCUAAUUUUCAAAAUUCUCAGUGAAAAAAAAAUCCUUAGAAAUGUGGGAACAUAGGGCUGUGGGAACAUAGGCCUGACCCCGAAUUUAGCUAUCACAGAAGCAGCUUGUCUUGAAGUUAUCACCUUAAUGCAAAGCACCCGACAGAAAGCAGUCCCAGGUUAGAUGAUCGCCAACCCACACUCCAUGACUUCUCUAGGAAAAUAACUAGACCAGUCCGUGAAAAGGUUACCAUUUGGGUUGCCGGUGACUGUCGGCCCAUCAACAUAGUUGAGGACAGUGGGCUGAUUGAGGUGAUUCGAAUUGCUUCAGGGGAAAUUCUUACGAUUUACAGUCGAGGGGCACCAUUGUGUUUAAAAAAAAUACAAUUAAACAACAGUUUCUAAAAUACACGCUGUCUGAAGUGAUUACUUGUUUAUUUAUAAGAAGAAAAACAAACUUUUAAUCGUGAUUAAUCGGUUACAUCACAUUAACAGUACAUCCACAUAUCCACAAUCAUACAUCCACAUAUCCGCAUACAUACAUAGGGAGCGUGUGGCAAAGUGUCUCUUUUUGCAUUAUGUAAAAGUGCCAAAACCCUUUUUAUUGUAAAGAGCAGGGUAUACAUAUAUAUAUAUAUAUAUAUUAGGGCUGUCAAUCGAUUAAAAAAAUUAACUAAUUAAUCGCACAUUAACUCUCUCCAUCUUCAACUACCGC